CCCCACCUCUCUCUCUCUUCCUCCUCCCCUCUCCCUCUCUCUCUCUCCACACGGCGCCCUCACGCGCACGCACACACAUACACCUGUCUCCGCCUCCGCUCCGCUUGUUCCCGAGUGCGCUCGCCGCAUUCCGAUCCCGCCGGCCAAUUGGUUCAGCGCCGGCGCGGGGGCGAUGGUGUCGGGCGGGUGCGUGGGGACGGAAGGGGGCGCGGAGCCGGAGGAGUCCGCGGCGGUAGCGGCGGAGGAGCAGGUGAUGCCGGCGACGGCGCCCGCGCGCGCCAGGGAGCUGGUGGUCGGGUACGCGCUCACGUCCAAGAAGGCCAAGAGCUUCCUCCAGCCCAAGCUCCGGGGGCUCGCCAGGAAGAAAGGCAUUCAAUUUGUUGCAAUUGAUCAAAAGCUUCCACUGUCAGAUCAAGGCCCUUUUGAUGUUAUUCUGCAUAAGUUGACUGGAAAGGAGUGGCAACGACGGUUGGAGGAAUAUAGAGAGACACACCCAGAAGUUACUGUUCUUGACCCACCAGGUGCCAUAGAACAUUUGCUGAACCGCCAAUCUAUGCUUCAAGAAGUUUCUAAACUGGACCUUGCGGAUUGUCAUGGUAAAGUUGGUGUUCCGAAGCAGCUAUUUGUUAACACAGACCCAUUGUCAAUACCAGCUGCGGUUAUGAGGGCUGGGCUAUCGCUUCCAUUAGUGGCGAAGCCUCUGGUGGCGAAGUCUCAUGAGUUGUCUCUUGCUUAUGACGCAGCUUCCUUGACGAAGCUUGAGCCUCCGUUGGUUCUUCAGGAAUUUGUUAACCAUGGCGGCGUCUUAUUUAAGGUCUACAUUGUUGGGGAUGCAAUUAGGGUAGUGCGUAGGUUCUCACUGCCUAACGUGGAUGAGGGUGAUCUGUCAAAUAACGCCGGAGUGUUCCGGUUUCCGAGGGUCUCUUGUGCUGCAGCCACUGCGGAGGAUGCAGAUCUUGACCCGCAUGUUGCUGAACUUCCUCCAAGGCCACUGCUUGAGAUAUUGGCAAGAGAGCUGCGCCGCCGACUGGGUCUUAGGCUAUUCAACAUAGAUAUGAUCAGAGAGCAUGGGACAAGGGAUCGGUUUUAUGUUAUAGACAUGAACUAUUUUCCUGAAAUGACCGGUCUUGGAUACACUGCGAAGUGAGAUGUUGACCUCCCAUGUCAGGCUGUCAGCUAACUCAUUGUGUCAACGCAAUCUGGCUAGGUAUGGUAAGAUGCCUGGAUACGAGCAUGUUUUCACCGACUUCCUGCUGAGCCUAGACCAGCAGAAGGAGUACAAGCGACGACCGGGCUAUACCUCGGGCGAGGGCUGAAGAGUCGAGACCGACCAACUUCCCUCUGACCUUUGCCAGUAUGUUGUCUCUUCGCAUUCGCUGUGUGUACAAAUGAAUGUGCAUAUCAGGAGGAGAGGGAUCAUCAGAUCUCAUCUGUGGUAGAGUUGGGCAUCAGUAGUUGCGAUGAUAAGGCAGCGAGGACUGUGUUGAACUGUAAUUAUUAAUCCGCAUUUUGGCACAACUGUGUUCUCUUCAUGUUCUCGAAUAAUCUUGUUCGGCCUAGUAAUUAUUAAAACGCAGACCUGCAACACGGCCGGGUUGCUUUGCUUC